rnacentral:rRNA from 1 species
UGGGGAAUAUUGGACAAUGGGCGAAAGCCUGAUCCAGCCAUGCCGCGUGUGUGAAGAAGGUCUUCGGAUUGUAAAGCACUUUAAGUUGGGAGGAAGGGCAGUAAGUUAAUACCUUGCUGUUUUGACGUUACCGACAGAAUAAGCACCGGCUAACUCUGUGCCAGCAGCCGCGGUAAUACAGAGGGUGCAAGCGUUAAUCGGAAUUACCGGGCGUAAAGCGCGCGUAGGUGGUUUGUUAAGUUGGAUGUGAAAGCCCCGGGCUCAACCUGGGAACUGCAUCCAAAACUGGCAAGCUAGAGUACGGUAGAGGGUGGUGGAAUUUCCUGUGUAGCGGUGAAAUGCGUAGAUAUAGGAAGGAACACCAGUGGCGAAGGCGACCACCUGGACAAAGACUGACGCUCAGGUGCGAAAGCGUGGGGAGCAAACA